rnacentral:misc_RNA from 1 species
AGCCAUUGAUUGAUUCCUUGCACGAUUCUGCAUAAAAUCAUUUUUGCCCCAAAUAAACCAAGCGAGCUUUGCACAAGUGCCAGCAUAUAGACAUAUUGUGUGACACAAUAUAUGUAUACAUAUAAACAAUUAAGAAAACUAAAAACAAGCACAUCUAGAAAUCAGCAUAAAACAACAGGCAAGCAUGUCCAAUGUAGGGAUUAAUGGAUUUCAUAUUUUAUCAGGAAGGGGUAUGAAUGCCUACAUACCGUACUUGGUUGAUGGAAUUAUUGAGUUANNNCUCCUGCGGAAGCCCAUCCUCUCCCUACUUGAAGUGAAUGGGUACAAAAAGAAUCCAAAAAAAAAUAUACUAUACAAGCUUUACCACAAAAGUAAAGAUAAAUACACAGAUCUCACUGCCACAAUCAGGCAAUGAGUUCAUAUUCAUAUUAAGUGCAUGCUGCUAUGAUAUAGUACCUAUUU